rnacentral:rRNA from 1 species
UAAAAGGCCGCGGUAUUAUGACCGUGCAAAGGUAGCAUAAUCAUUAGUUUUUUAAUUGGGGGCUAGAAUGAAUGGUCGGACAAGAGAUAAUCUGUCUCAACUAAAUUUAUUGAAUUUAACUUUUAAGUGAAAAGGCUUAAAUGAUCUGAAGGGACGAUAAGACCCUAUAAAACUUUUAUAUCUAGAAGUAGUAGUUAAUUUUAUUUAAGUGUACUAUUUUAAGAUAUUUGGUUGGGGUGACCAGGAUAAAAUAUAAAAUAACUGUCUUUUUUUUCUACAAUGAUUUUUGGGCUUAUGAUCCUAAAAAGGAUUAAAGAUUAAGUUACUUUAGGGAUAACAGCGUAAUUUUCUUUGAGAGUCCUUAUCGACAAGAGAGUUUGCGACCUCGAUGUUGAAUUAAAAGUUCUUUAUAGAGCAGAGACUAUAGUAGAAGGUCUGUUCG